rfam:Arabis alpina cultivar Pajares chromosome 8, whole genome shotgun sequence.
GUUUAGGGGAAUGUUGUUUGGCUCGAGGUCAUGAAGAGUCAUUCUUUAAUCAAACACAAAACUCUGCAUGAUUCUCGGACCAGGCUUCAUCCCCCUUAAC